UGAAGUUUUGUGUUUACUAAAUUCUGGUAUUGCCAUGGUUAGCUGUGCUCUAAAUUCUGUUGCACAGUUUUAAAGGCACGAUGUUUAUACUAAAACAUAUAGGAUUUCCUCAUAAUUAUGAUUAUUAUUAUGUAUACUUCAAAAUCUCUAUGUAUGCGUGAUCCAAACAAAUAAAUAUUAUUUUUAGAACAUUGUUUUAGAUCUACUUAACACAUUUCAAAUAAGUACCAAUUAAAAUUUGGGAAAAAAUGAUGACUUAUUGUCAUCACUUGAUCUGCGUCGACGUCUCCCUUGCCUGGUUAAGUCUUAUGUUUUGGUCAGCUUUUCUCUUAAACUAUCGAAGCUGAUGCUUUAAAACUUGCAACAAUUGUUCAUCAUCAUUCGCUGACUUUGUACAGCAAGAAAGAUAAUUCAUUCCUGCUUUUUGCAAGAAUUAUGGCCCCUUUUGGACUUAGAAAAUACCAGAUUUCUUGGUUAAGUUUUGUGUGAAGGUAAACUUUUCUCCUUUACGGUCAAAGCUAUUGCUUUAAAACUUGAAGCAGUUAUUCACCAUUAAAAGCUGACUCUGCACAGCAAGUGCUGUAAUUUUACAUUGCCUUUUGCAAGAAUUAUGGCCCCUUUUGGACUUAUCAUAGGUUAGGCAAUAUUUUUAUUACACAAGACAAAAAAAUCAGAUGAGCAUCUGCACCCGCAAGGUGAGCUCUUGUUAAUUAUGCGAUAAAUCAGUUAGACAAUACACACAUGUGUUACCAGCGAGUAUCAUCAUACUUGGAAAAUGUCAGGGAACAUAAUCUGGCAGCAAACUCUCCGGGCUUGUUUGCUACCCAAUUACAUUCCCUUAGAUUCCCCAGCACAUGAUGAUACGAGCCGGUAACACACUUGUACGUAUUAUCUAACUUAUACUUGUUCUUCAGACUAGCAGAGGAGUAGCUAGACUGUCUUAAUGUUAAACUUAUGUAAAGUAUGAUUGAGAUUCCAGAAUUCUUAUACAGACUAUGAGGGGAACCAGUUUGGUUUAGUGUUAAACUUCGCUGUGAUUGAGUUUCCAACAUAGAGAGCAUUUAAUUCACUGUAUACAUGUUCUAUCAGAUGAAUAGCCAGACUGUCUUAAUAUAAAAUUUCACUGUCAAGGCGUGCUUGAGUUUCAAACAUGGGGAGAGUUAAUAUACAGACUAGCAGGGGUACCAUACUGGUUUAAUUUUAAAUUUCACUAUCAAGUUAUGACUUGGCUAAUGGAGAGAAUUGUUCUACAGAACCAGACGGGCUCUCAUGAACAGACUCAAUCAAACCGAGUCUGCUAUUAUUCUUCUUGGUUGCAUUCUUUGCUUCCAAAGGAUCUUUUUACAGAUUUUAUUAAUGUCAGACAUUACUCUCAAUGUAUGACUGUACUGACAAUUUUAUAUUAGUGAAGUCUUAAUCUAUAAAGGUAUGAUUUAGUUUCCUCAUUCUGAUACUUGUAAAGGAGUAGUUAGAGUCUGCUAGACUAUGGAGCCUAGAGUCUGCUAGACUGUGGAGCCCUAAGAGUCUGCUAGACUGUGGAGCCUAGAGUCUGCUAGACUGUGGAGCCUGCAGCUGUACUAUGAAGGUGAAGAAUGUGGUCACAUAUUAACAAAUUUCACCAAGACAUCUACAACUAUUGUAAGUCCGAGAGUUUCCUUCUUGAUAGCAAUGUCUCUGUCCAUAUCCUCCUGUGGGGAGCUGAUUACAGUGCUUGGUUAAUGAUGAAGCUGCUGGUAUCAAAGUCUUAAAGGAAAUUAUCAUUUACGUUAGGUAUGUCAAGGAUGGGAAAAACGUUAUUGGAUUAUUAAAACUGGUUUCUCUGGUAGUCUGAACUGCAGCACCCAUAGUUUCUACAGUUAUGUCCCUUCUGGAGUGUUUACACCAAAUGGGAAGUCCAGGAUUUGGAUCCUGAUUCAGGCACCAGAUAUUUCUGAAAACUUCUGAAUGUCUUCCACACACCUAAGACACCAGCACUUGUACAUCCCAGGAAAGAGGGCACUGCAUACAUCAGUGCUCUACACAGGGUAUGUGAAGGAACCAGGCUCAGUCACAUGUAGCUAAUGGGUAUGAGAAGGAACCAGGCUCAGUCACAUGUAGCUAAGGGUAUGUGAAGGAACCAGGCUUGGUCACAUGUAGCUAAGUUAGGUAAAUGAAACUAUUGGUAUUUUUCCUGAACAAGAAAAGCAAUGGCACGUCAGAAAUUUACAAUGCAGGAGACAAGAACAGUAGCAACAAGUAUUAGAGCAAAGAAACAAAAAAAUAAGUUUCAAAAAGAGAGAGUAAUAAAGUCAGAACUUAAUGACAGCAAAGAGGGGACAACAUAUGAAAGAAGUAUUGAGCUGAAGGAGUCUGGAGAAACCAUGUGAUGUUCCAUCCAUACAGUCAUCCAGUUUAUACAGAGUAGGCCUGUAGCAGAUACUCAAAAUGAAGAGGAAGGAAUGAGAGAACAAGUCACAUUAUAGAGAUAAGUGCCAGGAGGGAAGAGGAAACUUUCAACUGAUAUAUUCAUCAAACUGAAAAUCGGCAACAAGGCUGUAGGCAUUAUCUAAAUAACAUAUCUAACAAUCUUGUUUAACUGAGAAGUACCAGUAACAGAAGCUUUAUAAUGGUUCAUCACCUUCCUGGAAAUCAAUGUUUUAACAGGCUACAGUGUUCAGUCUGUCUUACAUUUGCACUAAAAGCUGUCAGUUUAGUGGAAAUGUGUAUGGAUUUAUUGAUGUGAAAGAUCUCAUAAACAGGAGUGUCUUGCGCUGCAUAUUUUAGGUGAAUAGUUUUCUAAUGAAGCUCACAAUGCUGUGGCUGAUGCCUCCAUUUUACAACAAUUGUUAAAGCAAUGUCUAGAUGAAUUGCAGGAAAGGUGUAGGUCAUUAUACCCCCACCAAACAUGUUUGAGGGGGGUAUAUAGGAGUCAGUUUUGUCGCGUCCCGUCGCGUCCCGAAAUCUAUUAUCUCAGUUAUUACCAAAUGGAUUUGAUUCAAACUUAAAAUACAUGUUCCACCUUAUCACCGACAUCAUCUGACACAAGGUACAUAACUCUUGACACCAAGUUUUCAUGAAUUAUGUCCCCUUUUACUUAGAAUUUAAGGUUACUUUUGUUGUAUUUUCACUAUAUCUCAGUUAUUACUAAAUGGAUUUGAUUCAAACUUAAAAUAGAUGUUCCACCUCAUCACCCUCAUCAUGUGACAUAAGGUGCAUAACUCUGACACCAUUUUUGUUAUGAAUUAUGCCCCUUUUUACUUAGAAUUUAAGGUUGAUUUUGAUGUAUUUUCACUAUAUCUCAGUUACUACUGAAAGGAUUUGAUUCAAACUUAAAAUAGAUGUUCCACCUCAUCACCCACAUCAUGUGCUCACAUCAUGUGACACAAGGUGCAUAACUCUGACACCAAGUUUUCAUGAAUUAUGUCCCCUUUUACUUAGAAUUUAAGGUUAAUUUUGUUGUAUUUUCAUUAUAUCUCAGUUAUUACUAAAUGGAUUUGAUUCAAACUUAAAAUAGUUGUUCCACCUCAUCACCCAGAUGAUGUGACAUAAGGUGCUUAACUCUGACAUAAAUUUUUUAUGAAUUAUGUCCCCUUUUACUUUAAAUUUAAGGUUGACUUUGAUGUAUUUUCACUAUAUCUCAAUUAUUACAAAAUGGAUUUGAUUCAAACUUAAAAUAGAUGUUCCACCACAUCACCCACAUCAUGUGACACAAGGUGCAUAACUCUGACACUAUUUUUCUUGAAUUGUGUCCCCUUUUACCUAGAAUUUAAGGUUAAUUUUGAUGUAUUUUCACUAUAUCUCAUUCUGAUUGGCUUAGAGCCAAAGGGAAGUAACCUUUUUUUAACCUUUGUACUGAGUUUCUUCCCCUUAAAUUCCAGGAAUUAGUCUAUUUUUAGAAAUCCUAUUUUUAGAUUUUCAAUAUUUUAGGUAUUUUUCUAACUUUUUUAUUAUAAGUCCUAUGUAAAAAGUAAAAACAUUUUUCCGUGGUAACAUGGGUCGGUAAGACACCUUUUUGUAUUCACUUUUAGUGUAUCUCUAAUAUUAGAGAUUUAAUAUAUUUACUAGUAUUAUACUAGUAUUACUUAUAUGUGGAAGCCCAGGAUGAAGUACUCCAAAGUAUUUUUAAGAUUCCUUAUGGUUGCCAUUCUUCUGUGACAAGACCGUAUGGUGGGGGUAUGAGUCACUCCUGUGACAGUUCUAGUUUUUAUCAGUGCUGUUUAUUCAAAAUGUUCAAGCUUAACAGGAGAAAAAUUGAAACUUGCUUCCAUUAGUUUACAAAGAUUUGAAUUUAAAAAUUAUACCCAGAUGAUACAAUUUUAAGGGAAAGGAACAUCUAAACACAUGGGUAAUUGACCAGAAUCAUCUCUCUUUGUAUUAUUAAGGACAUUGACUCAUUUAAUAAAACAUUAUUUUUCUAGCUCGACUGUUUGAAGAAUGAUCUAGCUAUUCUAUUUACCCUGGCAUCGGCAUCACACCUUUGUUAAAGUUUUGCAUGCAAGUACAUAUGGCUAUCAUUUAAAGGCAUAUAGCUUUGAUACUUAAUUUUUCUUUUUCUAGGUUAAUUACCAACCUCACUGGGUCAAUUCCCAUAACUCUGAAAUGUAUUUUGCCCCCUUUUGGACUAAGAAAAUCCUGGUUAAAGUUUUGCAUGCAAGUUACUAUCUCCAAAACUAAUGCAGAUAUUGAAAUGAAAUUUCACAUGGGUCUUAGGGGUUAUAAAACUAGGUGAUAGCAUCAAGUCCCAUAACUCUGACAUUUUUGUCAAAUUAUGCCCCCUUUUGGACAUACAAAAUCUUGGUUAAAGUUUUGUAUGCAAGUACAUAUGGCUAUCAUUUAAAGGCAUAUGGCUUUGAAACUAAUUUUUCUUUUUCUAGGUCAAUUACUAACCUCACUGGGUCAAGUCCCAUAACUCUGACAUGUAUUUUGCCCAAAUUAUGCCCCCUUUUGGUCUUAGAAAAUUCUGUAUAAAGUUUUGUGUGCAAGUUACUAUCUGCAAAACAAAUGCAGAUAUUAAAUCGAAACAUCAGGGCUAUAAACUAGUUGAUUGCAUCAAGUCCUAUAACUCGACGUGAUUUUGGCCAAAUCAUGUCCCCUUUUGAACUUAAAACUUCUGUUUAAAGUUUUGCAUACAAGUUACCAUCUCCAAAACUAAUGCUGAUACUAGAUUGAAACUCUAUAGAUAUUUUAACAUUUAGGGUAAUAUUCCUGCUUCUGGGACAACGAUUCAAAUAGUAGAGCACUGUGUCACCUCAGUGCAAAAACUGGAUAACUUCAAUGACAUAAAGGACUUAUUCACUUUUUGCGCUAAGGUGACGAUAUUUAGUCUGGCUGUCUUACGGACAGCUCUUGUUAAAAAAAGAUAUGACAAUUUGAAUUUCCUGUAAAAAGGCAGGUUGUUUUUAGAUCUUUAAUGUUUUCUAUGAAAUUUAAACGCAUAGUUCAACAAUUUUGUUUUCCCCUUUGAAUCUGUCAUCAAAAUUCUGAGAUUUUUUGUACUAACUUGAUGCAAUUAUAAAUAAAUAAAGGAAUAAUAUGUAACAAAAUAAUGUUUUAAUUAACUAUUCAAACAAUGGGAAUCAUUUCAUGAGGGCACAGUCUGAGUUGAGUAUUCCACAUGGCUUAUAACCUAUUGCCAGAUUUUACUACAAAAAUCAGUAAAAACUGAACAUUUGCAAAAAUCAGGAAGUACUAGGGUUCCAGCUUCUCCUUUCAUUACAAACUUGAAGCCUGCAAUGAAACAUAAAAUUGGAAUUUUGAAAAGUGACCAGUAGAAACUGGUAUUUGAAAGCAUAAACCGCUUCCAUCAUUAAUGAACAAGGUGUUCAGUAGAGGAAAGAAACAAAUGAACAUUCCUGUCUUUCAUCUCACACCAAGAAAAAAGCAUUUUUAAUUGUGUAAAUAUAUUUGUAAGUUUUAUUUGAAAAUGCAGAUGAUUUGUCAUGUUAACAUUAUUUUUCAUAUUUGUCAAAGGUCAAUUUAAUUCAUUAAAAGUUGAAUACUAG